GGCACAGGGAUAGCGGUGCGAAAGCGCCGGUAAUACCUGGUGAUAUCCGGGAGUCGCAUGGCUUCUGGAUCAUAGGUGGGGACCUUCGGGCCUACUGGCCUGGGAUCGGCCCAUGUCCUAUCAGCUUGUUGGUGGGGUAAUGGCCUACCAAGGCGAAGACGGGUAGCCGGCGUGAGAGCGCGACCGGCCACAUCGGGACUGAGACACUGCCCGGACACCUACGGGUGGCUGCAGCAACGAAUAUUCCGCAAUGGGCGCAAGCCUGACGGAGCGACGCCGCGUGGAGGAUGAAGUCUUUCGGGAUGUAAACUUCAAUAGUUUGUCAGGAAGCAAAGGGACCUAAUACGUCCCGGCGUUGACCAGCGAACGAAAGGGGCGGCUAACUCCGUGCCAGCAGCCGCGGUAAGACGGAGGCCCCUAGCGUUGUUCGGAAUCACUGGGCUUAAAGAGGGUGUAGGCGGAGCAGCAAGUACUUUGUGAAAGCCCCGGGCUCAACCCGGGAAUUGCUUGGUAUACUGCUGCUCUUGAGGCAGGUAGGGGUCACUGGAACCUUAGGUGGAGCGGUGAAAUGCGUAGAUAUCUAAGGGAACGCCUGUGGCGAAAGCGGGUGACUGGGCCUGUCCUGACGCUGAGACCCGAAAGCGUAGGGAGCAAACAGGAUUAGAUACCCUGGUAGUCUACGCCGUAAACGAUGCGCACUAGGUUCGAGAGCUACUGACGGCCCUCGUGCCGAAGCAAAAGUACUAAGUGCGCCGCCUGGGGAGUACGCCCGCAAGGCUAAAACUCAAAGGAAUUGACGGGGGCUCACACAAGCGGUGGAGCAUGUGGAUCAAUUCGAAGCAACGCGAAGAACUUUACCUGGGUUUGACAUGCACGGAUGCCCUUCUGGAAACAGGAGUAAGCUGCCUUCGGGUGAAACGUGCACAGGUGCUGCAUGGCUGUCGUCAGCUCGUGCUGUGAAGUGUCGGGUUAAGUCCCUUAACGAGCGAAACCCUUGUCGUUAGUUGCCAGCGGGGUCAUGCCGGGAACUCUAGCGAGACUGCCGGCGUUAAGCCGGAGGAAGGUGGGGAUGACGUCAAGUCAUCAUGGCCUUUAUGCCCAGGGUGUCACACGUGCUACAAUGGGGCGUACAGAGCGACGCAAGACCGUGAGGUGGAGCAAAUCGCAGAAAGCGUCCCUCAGUUCGGAUCGGGGUCUGCAACUCGACCCCGUGAAGCUGGAAUCGCUAGUAAU
rnacentral:rRNA from 1 species